UACAGAGACUGCAAGCGUUAUUCGGAUUCACUGGGCGUAAAGGGUGCGCAGGCGGCCGUGUGUGUGAGGCGUGAAAGCCCGGGGCUCAACCCCGGAAUUGCACCUCAAACUACAUGGCUAGAGCAUUGGAGAGGGAAGCGGAAUUCACGGUGUAGCAGUGAAAUGCGUAGAUAUCGGGAGGAACACCAGUGGCGAAGGCGACUUCCUGGCCUGUUCUUGACGCUGAGGCGCGAAAGCUAGGGUAGCAAACGGG
rnacentral:rRNA from 1 species